rnacentral:rRNA from 1 species
GCACAAGCGUGGAGCAUGUGGUUUAAUUCGACGCAACGCGAAGAACCUUACCUGGGCUUGACAUCCCGAUCGUACUUUCUGGAAACAGUUAGGUCAGUUCGGCUGGAUCGGUGACAGGUGCUGCAUGGCUGUCGUCAGCUCGUGUCGUGAGAUGUUGGGUUAAGUCCCGCAACGAGCGCAACCCUUGUCCUUAGUUGCCAUCAUUUAGUUGGGCACUCUAAGGAGACUGCCGGUGUUAAACCGGAGGAAGGCGGGGACGACGUCAAGUCAUCAUGGCCCUUAUGUCCAGGGCUACACACGUGCUACAAUGGCCGGUACGAAGGGCAGCGAUACCGCAAGGUGGAGCAAAUCCCAAAAAGCCGGUCUCAGUUCGGAUUGGAGUCUGCAACUCGACUCCAUGAAGUUGGAAUCGCUAGUAAUCGCGGAUCAGCACGCCGCGGUGAAUACGUUCCCGGGCCUU